UAGGGAAUCUUCGGCAAUGGACGAAAGUCUGACCGAGCAACGCCGCGUGAGUGAAGAAGGUUUUCGGAUCGUAAAACUCUGUUGUUAGAGAAGAACAAGGACGUUAGUAACUGAACGUCCCCUGACGGUAUCUAACCAGAAAGCCACGGCUAACUACGUGCCAGCAGCCGCGGUAAUACGUAGGUGGCAAGCGUUGUCCGGAUUUAUUGGGCGUAAAGCGAGCGCAGGCGGUUUCUUAAGUCUGAUGUGAAAGCCCCCGGCUCAACCGGGGAGGGUCAUUGGAAACUGGGAGAAAUGAGUGCAGAAGAGGAGAGUGGAAUUCCAUGUGUAGCGGUGAAAUGCGUAGAUAUAUGGAGGAACACCAGUGGCGAAGGCGGCUCUCUGGUCUGUAACUGACGCUGAGGCUCGAAAGCGUGGGGAGCAAACAGG
rnacentral:rRNA from 1 species